rnacentral:rRNA from 1 species
GACGAACGCUGGCGGCGUGCUUAACACAUGCAAGUCGAACGGAAAGGCCUCUUUCGGGGGGUACUCGAGUGGCGAACGGGUGAGUAACACGUGAGUAACCUGCCCUUGACUUUGGGAUAACUUCAGGAAACUGGGGCUAAUACCGGAUAGGAGCUCCUGCUGCAUGGUGGGGGUUGGAAAGUUUCGGCGGUUGGGGAUGGACUCGCGGCUUAUCAGCUUGUUGGUGGGGUAGUGGCUUACCAAGGCUUUGACGGGUAGCCGGCCUGAGAGGGUGACCGGCCACAUUGGGACUGAGAUACGGCCCAGACUCCUACGGGAGGCAGCGGUGGGGAAUAUUGCACAAUGGGUGGAAGCCUGAUGCAGCAACGCCGUGUGCGGGAUGACGGCCUUCGGGUUGUAAACCGCCUUCGCUCAUGACGAAGCUUUGUGUGACGGUAGUGGGUAAAGAAGCACCGGCUAACUACGUG